rnacentral:rRNA from 1 species
UACGGAGGAUCCGAGCGUUAUCCGGAUUUAUUGGGUUUAAAGGGUGCGUAGGCGGCACUUUAAGUCAGGGGUGAAAGACGGCAGCUUAACUGUCGCAGUGCCUUUGAUACUGAAGUGCUUGAAUGCGGUUGAAGACGGCGGAAUGAGACAAGUAGCGGUGAAAUGCAUAGAUAUGUCUCAGAACACCGAUUGCGAAGGCAGCUGUCUAAGCCGUUAUUGACGCUGAUGCACGAAAGCGUGGGGAUCGAACAGGAUUAGAUACCCUGGUAGUCCACGCCCUAAACGAUGAUAACUCGAUGUUUGCGAUAUACAGUAAGCGUCCAAGCGAAAGCGUUAAGUUAUCCACCUGGGGAGUACGCCCGCAAGGGUGAA